rnacentral:tRNA from 1 species
GACGUAGAGAACGGAUACUUCGCCUUCCAAGCGAGAGGUUGCGGGUUCGAGUCCCGUCACGCCU